rnacentral:rRNA from 1 species
AACCUCCGCAAUGUGAGAAAUCGCGACGGGGGGAUCCCAAGUGCCAUUCUUAACGGGAUGGCUUUUCAUUAGUGUAAAGAGCUUUUGGAAUAAGGGCUGGGCAAGCCGGUGCCAGCCGCCGCGGUAACACCGGCAGCUCUAGUGGUAGCAGUUUUUAUUGGGCCUAAAGCGUCCGUAGCCGGUUUAAUAAGUCUCUGGUGAAAUCCUGUAGCUUAACUGUGGGAAUUGCUGGAGAUACUAUUAGACUUGAGACCGGGAGAGGUUAGAGGUACUCCCAGGGUAGAGGUGAAAUUCUGUAAUCCUGGGAGGACCGCCUGUUGCGAAGGCGUCUAACUGGAACGGUUCUGACGGUGAGGGACGAAAGUUAGGGGCGCGAACCGGAUUAGAUACCCGGGUAGUCCUAACUGUAACGAUGCGGACUUGGUGUUGGGGUGGCUUUGAGCUGCUCCAGUGCCGAAGGGAAGCUGUUAAGUCCGCCGCCUGGGAAGUACGGUCGCAAGACUGAAACUUAAAGGAAGU